AGAGAGAGGGAGGGGAAAAACCUUUUUUCUUUGCGGGGGGGGGGACUUUCAAAAAAGUUUUUCCACCGCUCUUUCCCUCUUCCUCUUUCUCCCUCGCUCCCCCCUCCUCGGCGUCAGGUGACUUUUUAGAAUUGUAGUAGAACCAGGAGAGCUUGGAGGCUUUGGGGGAGCCCAGUAAUGGACUCUGCUUCACUCUCCAAACGGAACACGGCGCUGAAAUUACUAGGCUUGGCAGGGGCUCCUCGUCAUCGUCAUCACCGCCACCAUCACCACUCCCCUCAGAGCAUGACAGGCUUCGCCGGGCAUCCCCACUCCAUGGUUCCCACGCACCCUGGGGAGUACGCUGCAGAAAGCCGCCUCGGGCUGAGUCCAUUCCGGUCAGAACACAUGGGGCACCACCACCAUCCUCUCCAUCAUCAUCAUCAUCACCACCGCCACCACUCUCAUCCUCCUCAUCACUCAGCGGCCCUUAAGCUCAGCCCUGCCCCUCAGCCUCAUCCCCACCAUCCUGUGACAGGCCAAGCCGAGGUGGUACCCAGUCCAGCAGGAGCAUUUGGCCCGGCGCAGUCAACAACAGUCCCUUACGCAGUCCCUCACCCAAGUCAUGCUCUUUCAUCAGGUAGGGAAUUCUUCCUGCGCAGAGAUCUGACAGCCCCAGUCAUGCCAGGGCUCCCUUAUCAACACUCUGCUGCUACAGGUUCUCACCAUGGAAUGUUUGUCUCAACAACAGGUAGCUACCCCGGACACCAUGCUCACCACCACCACCACCUCCACCACCACCACUCAGAAGCCGGAACUCCCUCGCUUUUUACUGGACUCCACCAUGAGCAACCUCCCCAUGCAGCUCCAGGUGGCCAUCUAAACGGACAGAUAAGGCUGGGGCUACCUGGAGAAAUGUAUGCCAGGUCUGAACCUUUCACGCCAGUACCAGUCUCCAGGACAGAUCCUUUUGCUGCUUCCUCCUUCCACGGCUACGGUGGCAUGAACCUGAACGUGAAUUUAGCUCCACACCACGGCCCUGGGGCUUUCUUCCGCUACAUGAGGCAGCCCAUCAAGCAGGAGCUCAUCUGCAAGUGGAUCGAACUGGACCAGACUCCCAAAAAAUUAUGCUCGAAAACUUUCAGCACCAUGCACGAGCUGGUGACUCAUGUCACCGUGGAGCACGUUGGAGGGCCGGAGCAGUCCAAUCACAUUUGCUUCUGGGAAGAGUGUCCCAGAGAAGGGAAGCCUUUCAAGGCCAAAUACAAACUGGUCAACCACAUCCGAGUCCACACGGGGGAGAAACCUUUCCCGUGCCCUUUCCCGGGAUGCGGGAAAGUCUUCGCUCGCUCGGAAAAUCUCAAAAUCCACAAAAGGACGCACACAGGCGAGAAGCCCUUCAAAUGCGAGUUCGAGGGCUGCGAGCGCCGCUUCGCCAACAGCAGCGACAGGAAGAAGCAUUCCCACGUGCACACGAGCGACAAGCCCUACAACUGCAAAGUGCGAGGCUGUGACAAGUCCUACACGCACCCCAGCUCCUUGCGGAAGCACAUGAAAGUCCACUGCAAGUCCCCACCUCCCAGCUCGGGCUACGAGUCGUCCACCCCGUCGCUGGUGUCGCCGUCGUCGGACUGCGGCCGGGAGCCCCCUCAGCCGCCGCCGCCACCGCCGCCGCCACCGCCUCCCGCAGCGGCUUCCUCCACCCAGGCGGCAGCCAACCUGAGCGAAUGGUACGUGUGUCAGAGCUCAGGGGCCAGCGGCAUCCCGACUCCACCCAGUAACUCUCCGUCACCUCACCCGGGAGAGGCCGCUUACACGAACUGCGAGCCCCGGCCCACUUAUUAAAGUCAAUACGAUGUCUAUCCCGUUGCUCUCAAGGUAAUCUAGACAGAGGCAGCUGAAAAGCCCCGCAUCUUAUGCCUUAGACAUCAAAGCAGUCUCUCACAAUGAAAGUAUUUCUUCGCAACGGUGAAUCUUCAUGGGUCUAGCUCCUUGCUGAAUGCUGCGGCUUUAAGUUGCUUUUUGACACUAUUUCCUUCUUUGUAAACACACACAGUCACAUCCACACACACACACUGCUGAAGAUAGAGACUGAACUAGAAAGGGAUGCCAUUUCCAGAACAAAGACUGAGGAAUCUUCUGAAUUUCUUGACUCUUUCACGGAAACAAACAAGGACUAGAUCCUAGGUGUGUGGCAAAAACCAUGUCCCAAGAAAUUAGGGUUUAAUGCCUUCCAGGGCUACAGAACUUGACACUCCCAAGUCUGAGGCCACGGGCGAUGGGCCAUGGUCCCGGGAAAGUUAGAAGUCCAUGUUCCAGUAAUUGUCUUCUUGUUUAUUUUAUCCAAGUACCCCAGUGAAUAGGGGAAAAAUAAACACGCCGAACAAAAAAAAAAAUUCAAACAGUCGAGUCGUCUUUAGUGCUAGCCCUUGUGGCUGAAUAAAAAAGGAUGGUCCAAUUUCUAUUGAGCUGAAAAAUCUUUGAAGUGGGAGUUAUUAUCUGAGAAAUUCCUCCUUGUCGCCCUAACAACGCUGAUGAAACGUAAAAAGGUUCUUUGUCAGCGAUUUGUUCUCCCCUCUGUCAAACUCCCUCUGCCCCGUUAGCUGGGACCGUUUCUAAAGAGAUGGAACCAAACUUCUUAAAAGAUAACGUUGGGAUGGAGACAGAAAAUGUCCCAGUAUACAAUCAGAUACAUACAUCUACCUACGUCUGUCUGCCUAUGUCUGUCUCUCUGUAGGUGGAGGGGGGCGUGUAGCUCUAGGGUGGGGAGGGUGGGAGGGGGAAACGAGAGGGGGGUGGAGAACGAGAGCGAGAGAGGAUCCCUUCUGCUUUCCGAACUUCUCAGCCCCAGAGGAACUGCCCGACUGGAUCUUCUAUUCCGAACUCAUUUGCUUGAAUUCUGCCCAAGCCUUUGUUCUUUGCACAAAACCCAACUUCCUACGAACGCCAUCCAUGAACACCAAGUCUGUAGCUGCUGAACCUCGCUACCCUCUCAUUAUCCCAGUAUAAAGAAUGCAACAGCUCGUACAUGCCUUUAUUGCAGGCUCGGCUCGUGUUAAUGCUGAGACUACCUAUUAAAAAGCACGUUUCUCUACUGCAGUGCACUAAAAUGGUUACGCCUUCAAAGCGAUGGCUUCCAUAUGUCUCAAUGUUUUAUUGUCAGCGAGUGGAAAGAAAAGUAACAGCAUUCCACUCACUCCGCAACUUGGUACUCUCAACUGGGAGGAAAAAACAACAACACCAAACUCAAGAGUCCAUAGAUGUCUUUGGGAAUGAGAUAGUGGCUUGGAGAAUACACUGCUCACCAGUUUAGCAUUUCUGCCACACUGGUAGUUUUGGGUCCCCAUGAAAUGGUAGCAUCGUUGUUGGGCCCUCUUUUGUCGCAGCCAAGUGCCGAGUGUAAACUAUUGGCAGUGAUCCCAGUAAGUUUUUGUUGGCUCAGAGGCUGAGGAAAGAAGAGUGGUUUAACUGGUGCCUGUUUAUUGGAAGAUACUGGGCCUUGCAAUAUGGAGGCAGUCUUAGGAAGUGUAAUUCGCAGGCACCCUGUCCAUACCUCAGUUAGCAGAAGGAUUUGUCGUUUAAACCAAUUGUACAUCAUCAGUUCCAAUCCAUAUGUGAAAUAAGUCCUAGUGAAAUAAAUAAUAAUGACUUCUAUGUAUCGUGUUUAGUUUUGAAAUGUUUCCAGCGGGACUCUGUGGUCCUAAACAAUUUCUGAAGUAAUAAGCUUCUUUGAAAUAAAUGAGAUUCAUCUUAAAUUUAGGCAUUUAUUCAGGAUUGAGGCUUAAAUAGCACUUGCCUUAAUCAGAAUGAAAAAUAUAGGCAGAAGAAGAAACACAACGCAACGCCCGCCCACCCACACCAUAGUAUUAGGGCAAUGCUUUUAUUAGGCCAACAAAAAUGUCACAAAAUAGUGAGAAAGUUUUUGAGAUCUCCAAAACUUGAGACUUUAGCAAAACGGAGUGGAGGGGGGGGGGGAGAGAAAACUCGUGGCGUUGGUAUCAUUCUUAAAAGGGGGUGUGAGAAAAGAUAGCGGAGUAAGGAUGACUCCCAAUGAAGCUUUCAUAGGAGUAAGCCCCAUUGAAAACAGUGGGGCUUGCGGGUAAACGAGGAUUGAGCUGUAAGGCUGCAAUGAGAUACACAGUUACCCGGGAGUAAAUGUAAAUCCCAUUGAACUCAGUGUCACUUACUUCUGCAUAGAUGGUACAGGUUUUAAAAAAAGGGGGGGGAGAGGUUCUCCUAGGAACUUUCCAAAUUUCAGGUUACAUCUUCUAGGAUGAUUAAGAAAACACACAAUGGAUGAUUCCUCACCAUUGAAUACAGGAACUUCAGUAUAUAAGGGUAUCUCAUUUUUUAAAAAACUGAUUUCAAAAUCAUGUGUCGCUUACAAGGAAGAUUAUAAUCCAAAUUCAGUUUCCAAUCUACCAAUAGAUGCAGUUUUCCCCCAGGGGUUUAAUGUUUCUUUAUUUGAAAAGGAUAUUUGUACAAAUUCUGCGUAGUGUUAUUGUAUCUUUAAAUAUUUACGAAGCUUCGGUGCUUCUUUUUAUAAAGAUGAAUUAAAAUGUUUUAUUUUUCGCCCUACCGUGCUAUUUCCGAAAGGUGUUUUUUUUUAACAAGCCCCUCCUAUCACUUGUACACUAAACAGCAAAAGGAAAAAUCAAUUCUACGCAGCAACCAUGUAUAAUUUGGGUCGGUUUCUAAUGCGAUGUAAUGGGAAUUAUUGUUGUUGGAAUAUUAUGGACAUGUUAUGGAUUUUUAAAUAAAUAAAAAAACGAAUAUUGAAUGAAAACAUCAUUGCUAUCUGAAAACUCAGUCUUAUGGAGAAAUAAUUUGUACUUUUAAAAUAAAGCCCUCCAUGAGAAAUAUAAAA